UAAUACGUAGGGGGCUAGCGUUGUCCGGAUUUAUUGGGCGUAAAGAGCGUGUAGGCGGCCUGGUAGGUCUGCUGUGAAAACUCGAGGCUCAACCUCGAGCUGUCGGCGGAAACCACUUGGCUAGAGUCCGGAAGAGGAGAGUGGAAUUCCUGGUGUAGCGGUGAAAUGCGCAGAUAUCAGGAAGAACACCUAUGGCGAAGGCAGCUCUCUGGGACGGUACUGACGCUGAGACGCGAAAGCGUGGGGAGCGAACAGGAUUAGAUACCCUGGUAGUCCACGCUGUAAACGAUGGGUGCUAGGUGUGGGCGGUGUCGACUCCGUCCGUGCCGCAGCUAACGCAUUAAGCACCCCGCCUGGGGAGUACGGCCGCAAGGCUA
rnacentral:rRNA from 1 species